ACCUGCAUUGGAAAGUGAUCCUGGGCUGUCUGUGCUCUGAUCAUCCAUGCUGCAGGGAGAUGAACCGCUGAAAGCCAUUUCCCGUGUUUGGAGGGUUCACACCUGUCCCUUUCAAAUGCUGGCGCUUUCACACA
ensembl:snoRNA SNORA71 Small nucleolar RNA SNORA71